rnacentral:ncRNA from 1 species
GCAGCGCGUGUUUGAUCACGAUGUCGCUGAACUUGACCCCCUUGAGGCGCGCGGUGCGGAUGUACUGCGCUGUCAUCACCUCUGUCAUCGAGGCCCGCGUCAUCCGCGCGAUAUAGCCCAUCCCGUACAGCGAAAUGGUCAGCACCGGCAGGAAAAAGUUCCAGAACGUGGC